rnacentral:rRNA from 1 species
UACGUAGGGGGCAAGCGUUGUCCGGAUUUAUUGGGCGUAAAGAGCGUGUAGGCGGUUUGGUAGGUCCGCUGUGAAAACUCGAGGCUCAACCUCGAGACGCCGGUGGAAACCACCAGGCUAGAGUCCGGAAGAGGAGAGUGGAAUUCCGGGUGGAGUGGUGAAAUGCGUAGAGAUCCGGAGGAACACCAAAGGCGAAGGCAGUGUCCUGGGGAGUACCUGACGCUCAGGUGCGAAAGCUAGGGGAGCAAACAGG